rnacentral:lncRNA from 1 species
GGAUAGUAGAGGAUAGGAAAGGCAGCAGAACACAACAGACACUAGUAUGGCAAUAUGUAAAUCAAUGGAUGUGUAACUGAUGUAAUUCUGCAAUCUGUAUAUGGGGUAAAAAUGGGAGUUCAUAACCCACUUGAAUCAAAGUGUGAAAUAUGAUAUAUUAAGAAAUUUGUAAUGUUUUGAACAACCAACAAUAAAAAAUAAAAAAAAAAAUACUGACAGUACUAAGUAUUUGUGAGGAUGUGGAGCUAUAGGAAUUGCUGAUGAAAGUAUAAUUGGCUUAACCUUUUGGAAAAUGACAGUAUAUUUUAAAGUUGAAUAUACAUAUAUCCUCAGCAAUUCCACUUAUAAGCUUGAAUUCAUCAGAGAUGUAUAUGUAUACAUAUAUAUUUAUCAACAAACAUAAAAAUAUUUUUAGCAUUUUUCACAGUGGCCUCAAAUUGGAAACAACUUGUGUCCAUCAACAAUACAUGCAAUAAAGAGGAUGCCCUAUAGCAAGGAAAUGAGCUAAUUUUUGCUACAUGUAACAGUAUGAAUGAAUCUCACAAAUAAUGAGCAAAAGAAACUAGCCAACAAAAGAAUAUGUGUGUAUGAUUCCUACUAUGGUGUUCAGAAACAAGCAAAACACUACCAUUGGGCAGAAUGAAAUGGGGAAAGGUUACAAAGGGUAAUGCUUUAAUGUGCUUGUAGUCUUGUCUAGUCUAGGAUAGUGAUAGCUUGGUAAUUUUUUAAGCUAUACUCUUUAUGCUUUAUGUAUUUCUUAUAUUUCAUAUAUAUUUAUAUAUAGUUUUUGUUUUUUAAUGAGUAAAGCUAAAUCAGCAUGAUGCUUGUUGAACAAAUAAUUCUGCAAUAUGAGAAAAGAGCAGUUUGCCAAAGCUCUUAGAAGAGAGGGCUUUCUUUAUUCUUUCAGUGCAUUAGAGCCAAGAAUAUUAGAAAAUAUCUGCUUUGGAUCCCACUAUGAUGCAACAGAGCAUUAUGAUAAGAGAGCAGGAGAAGAGUAAGAAAGUGAGACACUAAAUUUAAAUUUGUGUCAGAAAUAAUAAACAAUCAUAACUCUUAACGAAAAUUUAAUCCAUGAAGAAAGGUGAAACCAAACUGCUUUUCAGAAUCCUGUGGGUUCUCAUGAGCCCACACAUCUCAUUCUAGAGGGGGUACACAUAUUCAUCAAUGAGAUUAGAACUGCCUUCGUUGAUGUUACAUACUUUGCUUUUUAAAAAGCUUUCCUUGGGCCUGGGUUGUGGCUUAGUGGUAGAAUACUUGCCUAGCACGCAUGAGGCACUGGGUUUCAUUCUCAGCACCAUAUAAAAAUAAAAUAAAGGUAUUGUGUCU